GAUACUCAGUUUUCUCGUCGGAAGCGCGGAAGUGUAGUAUCGUUAUUUCGUUGUUCAGUGAUGGACGUGUGACACUGUGGGGAUGUGAAUAAUUCCUUGUGGCCUAAGUAAAGAAGACUGCUUGGUUUUGCCAUGGUGAAAAAGGUGGCUUUGUCUGGUUGUUUGAAUGAUGGUUACGUGACUUGGUGGCGGUUCUCAUCGUCAGACUUGAUAGAGACUUCUGGUUAAAACUGCUACCAGGCUUUCGAGGAAUGUGAGGCUCUUUGCCAAGUAAACGAUGCUCUUGAAGUAGCCGAAGUCAAAAUUCGAAGGGAAGAGGAACUUUCAUCAAGCUACACAAAAAUGGACAUAUUAACCAGUGUUGGCUUCAUGAAACCCAAGUGUGACCUGUCGAUCAACCAACCACUCCCACAACCCCAAUUUAUUAUUUUUUUUUACCUCCACCCCUACAGGGGCGGUGCUCCUGUAGGGGUGGAGGCCCCCCUUCAUGCCAUGUUCCGUAGGUCUUAUGACCUAUGGGCAGGGCAUUGAGGGGUUCAUUUUUCUUUAAAGGUUUUAAAUGCAUCGGUUUUUAAAAACUAACUUGCCUUAACUAAAUUUUAGUUUAAGAAUUGGGUGUAACUAAUGCUUAAAUUCAACACUUAAAUUUUUAUAUGAAUUUCAUAUUUAAUAAAGAGCUGUUACAUGCCUCUUAGUUUUUAAAGUGUUUGCAUUAUACUACUGAAUGUUGGUAAUAUAGUAUGGAGCUUAACGUAAGCUUAGAAAUGUUUCCUUAAAUUGAAGUUGGUCCUCUAAUUAUAAUUUGGAAAGUUCAGUAGUAAUAAAUAUUUUUGUGCCACUGCUUAAACUGAAAUUUACUUUUUAAAAAUGGGGUAAAAAUAUUAAGUUAUUGCUUUAAACGCAUAAUCCAACGUUGUUUUUUAUUGAUUAAAACUUAAAUUUCUUCCAUAUGUUAAUAGUUCAAAUUAAGUUUUAUAACAUUAGUGAUGUUCGUGCUACGAAUACAAAGACCGUUUUCACUCUAAUGCAAUGGACAGACCUAUGUUUAACUAAUAGUUAGCAGAAUUUGCUCCAGUAAUGUUAGUCGCUGUCUGAGCAACGACUGGCAGAUUAUGCUAUACCUUUACUUGAUAACCCUUGCAAAUUGACGCUUUGCAAUUUCCAAGGCAGCUUCUCGAAGUAGAUGCUUUCUCCACCGUCGUUCCUUUGGUCUCACUUUGCUAGUACUAUGGGUACUUCGGUCCCUUCGUUUGCCAGCAGUUUGUCUGCCAGCAAUUGUUACUUUGGUUAAUGGGUUUAUAAAUGGUUUGUAUAGGAGAAAAUUUGGUCUACAGUGAAGGCUUCAGUUAUGUCAACCUUAUUUUACAACCUUUCCAAGAAUUUUGUUUGUAUUUUAUCAUAAUUAAUUUUUCUGGCGCAUUUUUUUUUUGCUUUGCAGGAUGUAUACUGGAGCAGCGUUAUUAAAGACGCUGUAAACUAUUCUUAUUCAAGAACUACGGUCCCCUAUUUUGAAUGAGGGGAGGAUGGGGUCUGGCGGUGUUACUGAUAUAUUUAAAAUUAUGCCAAGAGUUGUUCUGCAUUGAUGGGUCGAAGGCAUAAUGCAGUUUUUUGUACUUCAAUAAAUGGUAUUAAAUUAUGUACAUGUAAAUGUUCUUACUUUCACCAAUAAUAGCUCUCUAACUGGUA